GCUCUGCCACCGCCCCGCCCCUACUGCUCCACCGAACCGACCUCUUCUUCGAGCGUGAGCCGCUCCUCUCCCUGAAGCCCUCGUACGCACUAGGGUUUCGUGCGCCGCCGCCGCCGGUCCUCUCCAACACUGCGACGGGCUUCAUGGCCUACUUCGGCCUCGGGCCUUAAUGCUUCCUCUGCUUCUGCGUCGACCGGCUAUUCAGCGAGGAGGACGUACAUCAGGCAGCGGGUGACGCGCGGUGGCUGCGCAAAUUCCUCUGUGGCGGAGAUCUCCAGGAUGGGUGCUUGUCUUCUCGGAAGAAGGAGAUGAUGAAGGAUGCAGAGAAGGAAGGCAACGUGGAAGGCAACGUGGUGUGUUCUUGAUGAUGAUCGAAGAAGAUCUGCUGGCUGCUGUUCAAGGGACGAUAGCCAAAGAAGAAGAAGAUGAUUGCUAUGUUCUGCUGGACCAGGAUUCUGGAAGACCACGAAGAGGAAUAAGACAAGCAGGCACAUGUGUAUCAUCACGAGCAGCAAAACGAAGAGUAAACCCAAGAAUAUCAAGGGGGGAUUAUGUUGGCUGCCGUGGAGGACGAGAUGCAAGGGUGCUCGGGCAGCGGCUGCAGCAGCGUGACAGAUCAAGCGAGCUAGGUUGUGCCAUCUCUGGUCCUCUCUCUUCAAACGGUCGACACCGGGUGCUUACGAUCGACGUGACGGCGGCGGUGCAAGAGCAUGGCGUAGCUGGUCUGAGAGUGGCGAUGGACUCACUGCCCGCUGCUACUAUAUCAUCCAAAGUAGUGGCAGGGUGCAGCAGCACGAAUGGCUCAGCCUCUACCUUGUUCAUCCCAUUACCACGGAGGCGCUUUAAUUACUGACACAUCUGUUCUUAUUAUGCAACUGCAGGUGAUUUCUCAUCUUUCAACUCGGUCUAUUUUACUCGUCAUACAUGGAGAGAGUUUAUACAAUGUUAGAUGAAGAGUUGGCGGUGCCACGGUGCCAAGGUUUGCUUCUCAAAACUGAUAAGAUCACAUGAUGCUUGUAUAUGAUUAUUAUUAAAUCACAGGCAAAUAACCCACUUCAACCUGCGUGAUAAUUAUGUAGUGAGCAGAGCUUUUGUGUAAAUAAACUACCCAACUUUGUCAAGUGAGUUAAUGGAGCAAGUCUUUAAUUUGUAAUUAGCUGUUGUUCAGAAUUGAACUAGCGCUUCAUACAGAACAAUUUUGAGAGCAACUCCCCACAAAAAAAUACAUCAACUAUAAUUGUUGGAAUCCUGAAGGUAGUUCCAUCGAAGUUUGUGAGUAUAUUUGCAAACCUCUGUCUACCUAUGAAUACUAUUAUCGAGAUAGUUUAAACCAUGUUGUUGGCCUGCUACAAUGCUCAAUGGUUUACCCUUGCUCAGAUCAAUUCUGGUGAGUUUGUAGUGGGAAUGUGGGAUGAUGUAUGAAGAGAUAAAGAAAAUUAUGCUCGCGGAAUAUGAGUAUGUAGUAACAGUUCUCUGUUAUGGUUCGGGACAAUUGUUCUGGUACAUCUCAUUGGUAGUUUAUAUGUAAUGCAAUGCCGUUUUAUAAUUAUCAUGCUAAAAAGUAAUGUUACAUUAGACAUUUCAACAUAAAUGAGAUGGACAACUGAGCCCACAAUAUAUAACUAUGUAUAUUGGGACACAACGUUUUGCCUCUGUGUCCAGAUGAGCCGGUCAUUCGUCAGUUGGAAUCCGUGCCAAAGAGUUUCAGUGGUGUUGGUGUUCGCCAGUAGUCCAGUACAUCGAGUAUAGAACAACCGUGUAUGCUGCAGGUGGUUACGGCGUACAGCGGAACUGACAGAACUAUUUUGAAUCUCGGUGGCUCUGUAUCAGGGUCUUCCUGUACUGAUGGUUGAAAGAUUUCCAUGUGGUAUGUGACAUGGUACAGAUUUUUCGUUUCCUCGUAACUUUGAUGAGAUAAUCAUGGAUGACGAAAGGCAAACGGAUUCCUUGCCUUCCAAUUUAUCAGUCUUCAGUUACGCUCACAUACCGAGUGAAUAGAUUGCAAUGUUCUGUACUUCUUAUUUCUAAUUGAUUUCAUUCUCUAAUGGUUGCAUUAACUUGCCAAACAUUUCUGGCGGAUGCAUGGGAGGGCCGUCUAUGGUGGCAGUGGAACAAUCCUCACUGUAAGUGAUCUUAGAUAGGGAUGAGGUUAGCAACGAGGGCGAAAGAUGAUGAGGCUCCAGAAUCUAGAGAGUUGUUGUGAAAGCUGAUCCACAAGCACCAGGUUUUGUUAUAAAAGGAAAACUCUCUCGACCCGGAUGGAAAUAAUAUUCCUGAAUUGCCUGAGAUGGUUAGUGAUAGUGAAAGUUAUGAUGACAGAUAAUUACUCCUCCAAGAAGAAGAAUCAGAAGAGCUGGCUAUUUGUGGGCCUUUUUCGUCAGUGGUAAGGUGACAUGGGUCGCGUCUGUCGGUGGCUGAGGAAAGGCGGUUCGAGCCUGACGUGGUCGUCGAUGAGGAGCUUCUGGAUGUCACCGGCGCCGGCAAUCCUCGAGGGCAAAGGCUGUGACAAGCGGCGGCGGCGGUGCUUGGGCAGCAACAAUCCGAGCAUGAUGAGGUCGAAGGCGUCGUGGUGGUGCAUUGGAGCUGGAGGAGGCGGCGGGCCAGUGUUGUUUGUGCUCAAGACGUACGAGAUGGUGGACAUCCCAUCGACGGAAGCAGCGGUCUGGUGGAGUGACGCGUUGGACACGGCCUUCAUGUUAAAUGCUAAAAAUCAGGACUCGGUAUGGUGCCAAAAUAUGUUCAUAAUUUUGUGCACUGGGCUGAUGGGAUGCUAUGUGAAUCACUACAUUCUUACUCCUUUGGUUCGCCGGAGGUUCGGAUUGCAUUGACCACAUUCAGAUUUUUCCUAGAGAUUCGGGCUGGCAACCAAAGAUGUCCAGCCUUGAUGGCUUGUGAUAUAUUAUCAUGUUUAGGAUAGACGAAAAUAAGAUUGCAAAGGAACGAAGAGCUCAAGAUUUUUUUUUUGUUCAUGAAGAUGCAUAAUCAAGAGGAACCAUGAGGAUUCCUAAGAACACUUGAGGUGCAGCAACAUCACUUAACCUUUUCAUGUUACUCUAGAUGAUUUAUCAUCCUUGCUUGCCCCUCCCGACAAGGAUUCAUAUCAAGAGUUCAAUACUUGUUGGGGGUUCCUCGCAAUGCAUGCACAAAGAGGCAUAACUUCUUUGCUUCCCCCACCAUCUCUGCAAUAAUAUGGCGUGCAUGUGCAAAAAGAAGGAUCUGAUGGUCUACUAAGGGCUUAUAGGAAUGAAGAGCAGCUUAUCUUCUUUACGUGUUUAUCUGGUAAAUAUUCAUCUGUCAGGCAAUACAAAUCGUAUGGUUACAAGUUCAACAACAACAUGGGGAGCGCUGGCGUGGUAGUCCGGCGGUAGAGGGAUGGCUGAGCAGCAGCCUACCGAGGAGUUGGAGGGAGGGCUUGAUUGGACCACAUCUGUCCACGAGGGCUCGUUGGUGGGCUAAUCAAGAAGGGGGGAGGGGCUGGGUGUAUCUGCGUUGCGCGGUUCCGGCUGGUGUGCUCCUCGGCGGCGUCCUGGAUAGGUGGAUGUGUGGGCGGCUGCGUGUGUGCGUGUGCUUCGGCGGUGCGUGGUGAGGUAGCGGGGUGGCCAGCGCGGUGCCCUGGUGAGCAGGUGGUUAGAUCCGAACGGAUUUGGCCAUGGUGGCUCGACCUUGGACUUGCUGGUGCAUGUUGUGCGGAGCUCGAGAGGUUGAUCUGGGCGAAAGCUUGUCUUUGGAGUUUCCAGAGCCGGUGAUGGCGAAGCUUUCGAGUGUCGUUUCCUUCCUAUGGGCAUCGCCGAGGGUUUCAUCUUUCGAGCUAUGCAUUAGCAUGCUGGGCCGAUGGAAGAUGGAAGCAGAAUGCAUUUAUAACAAGGGCACCGGCCACAGGUUUACAACGACUUAUUGGUUGUACUGAUGGAGCAGAGUGCAUAUUUGUGCAGAGUCUGCAAAGAGUAACUGAAAGACUCGACUGAUCAGAUUUGUCAGGAGGGCUUUCUUAUUUAUGUAUCCAAUUUUAUGCAUGCCAGAGGAAGAAGAUCAAGCUUUUAGUCAGCUGAGUUGAAGAAGCAAGUAAGCCUGAAGAAAUGGACAGAUUGGCAUUUAAAAAUCCCGAAGAUAUGAACAAACAAUCUUGCUGAUUCAUGUGUACUAGCCUACUCAUUCAUGUAUAGUUUAUAAUCUGAGGAAAUGUUUGCCGUUUGUGUUAACCUCCAGUCUUGUACUGCUGAAGAUUUUAGUUUGUGUUGUAUCAUAUGUGGACAUGUUCUUUACUUCAAUCUAGACUUACGUGCCUUUGUGUUAA